UAAGUAGAGGUCGCGCCUGACAUGAGUAGACCGGCAGAUAAAGGGAAAUGGCUGUCGGAGAAAAGGGGAGGGCGCCGAAGAGACAGGAAAAUAAGUCCCUAGGGUUCCCGUUUCUGGGCAUGCGGUGAAGAAUCGUAUGACUGUCAUCUUUAGAAAAAGAUGGAGGGCUGCUUA
rnacentral:ncRNA from 1 species